AAACUAAAGCUUGCAUAAUCAUCCCUGGUUAUGCAACCUGCUAUUCAAGUUUUGUUUGCUGGGAAACAAUAUGUGUUUGUUUUUUCAUUCUUUGUCCUUUUCAUUGGGGAAAACUUAUCCUUUCCAUGUGUCAUUUGAUUUGUCUUUCUUUUGCAGUUCAGUGAUGGAUUUCAGCCGGCCUCUUGCUGUGCACGGCUGCUGCUUUCACACCCUUGCUUGCCAGCACCACAACUCAAGGACGCCGGGCCCUGUCCCUAGGAACGCUCCCCGCUACAGCUGCCGUGCCCCAGCCGCUGUCCCGCCGCCCGCCCCUGCCCCACUCACCCCGCCGGCCCCCGGGGGUCUCCUCCUCCGCCUGCUGCCCGCGGGCGGCGGACGUGGCCAGGGCGCGGGCGGCAGCUGGCGGGGCCGCCUCCAUCAUCCGCGGGCAGUGCUGGGCGUAGAGGAGCAGAGAGGGCCCGGCCUUCUGCAGGAACGCCUGCGAGACACGGGCCAGGAACGGGCAGCGCCGCACCACCGCCUCCAUCCUCGCUGCUUCACGGGGGAACCGGACGUGACGAGAGCACCGCGGAGGCGACAGAUACACCCGAGCAGCCCCCGCGCCGCUCGCCGCCUAUAUAGCCCCGGCGGGCACGGCGCAGGCGCGCUGCGCUGCUUCCCCGCCGCACGGCGCAGGCGCGGGCCGGACCCGGAGGCGGCUGCCGGGGGGGCUGCGGGGGACCGGGGGUGGUUCGCAUGGGGUUGGCGGGGUAUGCGAGCGGCUCCCGGGUGCUGUGAGGAGCUGGGGGGGCUCUGGGCGCCGUGAGGGGACGGAUAGGGCUGCCGGGGUGUGUGCGAAGAGACGGUGGGGCAGCCGGCCCCGGGGGCUGUAGGGGACGGCUAGUAAGGGGGUCACGCCCCCCCCCCUCCAAGAAGGCGGGCGGGCAGGCAGCUGUCCUGCUCUGGGGUUCCCCUCAGCCCCAGGCUGGGCAGCGCUUGUUUCCCAGAAUUAUUGCAGCCGCUCAGCCCCCGGGCAGUGGAUUUGGGGGCCCCUGGUGCGGCUGUUCGUUGGAAAACACGAGCUGUGAAUCAGCUGAGUGGGGAAACCCGGCGCCGCUCGGCGCUUCUCGUGUGUUCAUUUCCCAGCACGGCGCCCUGGCUCCCCGUGCCGCCUCGCACAGGGCGCGGGGGUCUCGCCGCUGGUCGUGGUGGGAUCCCGAACCCCUCCCUUCGCCCACAGCCGCUCUGAAUCCAGCAGUUUCUCCACCUGUGAUGCUCAGGCUUCCACCACUGUGUUUUUGAAGUGUGGUGCCGUUGCCUAGGUUUUGAAGAUAAAUACUCUUGUAGGAAUGACAGCAGCAAGUAAAAUUGAAUCCUGCAUGCUCUAUUUUGCAAUGGGCAUUGAAGUUUAUUUGUUUAAAAGAAUAUUUACAGGUGGGUAGUGAUUAAAGGAGCUGUGGUUAUACAAAUCCAUGUAAGCGUGUACUAACUACUGAAGUGUGGAAAGAACGAAGAAGAAAGAUGAUGCUUGUUUUCUUUUUUUUCCUCAUCUUGCGAAACAAGAAUUUCACGGAAGACAGGAUUCAGGCCGAGUGCUGCCUCUCGGCCACGUGUCUCAGCCAGCUGAGGGGUGGCUUGCGCAGUUUGAGGCAAAAGUGGUUUUUCUAACAGGUACAGAGUUUUGAGGAGAGCUCUUUUAAAGCUCAUUCUCCCUUGACUGGUAUCUUGUGUGUCGUCAUGGUGUGUAGUUAAGGUCCUUGUAUUAGAGUGAUUAGGAAAAUACAAAACCUAUGUAGAACUGUGGCUGCUGAACCCAAGUUUGGAUACCAAAAGCAUUGGUUGGUUUUUACAUGUUACAAAUUGAUCUUUAGAUAACUCCUCUGCUGGCAGGCAGGGGGGAGACCAGCAGGAUAUUUGCCCGAAUCUCCUCAACACUGACUCACUUUGAGGAUGCUGGCUGCAAGGUGUGUGGACUUUGUGAACUAAAUAAGCAGAUAAAGAGAACCGCAACCUUAAACCAUAGCCAAACGGCAGGGUCGCUGUCAACUCCAGUGCACUAUUAAACUCUGAGGUAGGAAACAGGACAGAGUUUGCCCUUGCGUAUUCCUUGUGGGGCCCUGCAGAGAGUAGAUAUGGCCUUAUGAGGCAGGUUUUAGUGGGGUUAGAUGUUUUUUUGAACAAGUUUGCUUCUUGCUUAUUAGGAAUUUAUUACAGUGUUAAGAAGUCUCAGUGCUUAGAUCUUAAACAUUUUAACUCAUUUCAUCACUGUAUUGCAGAAGUUACUGUUAAGAAACAGCCUUUCAUCAGUGGGCAUUGUUAAACUAGAUACAUACUAGUUUUAAUUUGUUCAGUAAAUAAAUGAUUAAACUAACGCUAUCAUAUAUUAUCUGAGUCUGCAUAGCAGUUGUGAUAGCAAGAGUCUUGGUCAUUUGGUAAUACUAGGACAGUGCUUCAAAUUAUUACUUCCGUUUUCUCAUGGAAAGUGCUCAUAGAGUAGUUUGGGUUGGAGGGGACCUUCAAAGCUCAUCUAGUCCAGCUCCCCUGCAAUGAGCAGGGACAUCAGUUAGUGUUACAUGCCUCACAUGCCUCAAGUAUUUACAUUUUGCAAAAUAUAAUAGUUAAUUAGCACUUGAAGGUUAAAGAUAUCUGAUUUGUGUUCCAGAUUGUUGCUCUUCCCUUUCUCCUGACCAUCAACAUUUGGAUCUCUACCCUGAAGCUUUGUAUCAUAUCAGUUACUAUAAAAAAGGAGGACAUAUCAUGAUAUUGUGCCACAUAAAUACCUGAUGAAUGUCCUAGGAGCAGAGAGUUAAUGUUUCUGAACCUAAGGGAUCACUCCAGUGCUCCUUGGAUUAAUUUCAGUUUUAACAACAUAAUUCAAAUCCCUUAUGCUUGAUUUAUAGUGUGUUGAUAGUACUUUUCCUUCUAUUUUUCCCUUAUUAAUUGACCAUGGCACUUAGCUCCAGAGGGACAGAGAAAGGGAAUAUGAGUUCUGUUGUAAGAGGCACCAGGGAAAGGUGUUGUGCAAACGGGCUGGCAGAGUACUGCCACAGGCUGCAGAGCUCAUCUGCGUGGCACCUGCCGCAGCAGAUUCCAUCCCACAAAAAUCCUUUUUCAUCCUGAUAAUCUUCACUGCAGCAUCUUACCAUGUUGCAAGAUUGAAGUACCUUAGUCUACGCUGUUGCUGGAAUGCAGAAGCUUGUGGUUUUGUAUUCAAAAGUGCAUGUGAAGUCUCAGGCCUGAAGAGCAUCUGCUUUUUACGCAAAUGUCAUUCAAGGCUGGCAGCUGAGACACAGCGACCUUGGCUGCGAUACGAAGAUCUCCAAGUGGAGCAGAACUCUCAGCUUUCCUGUCAGAGUACCCUACAAUCUGCACUAUUAAUCAGACCCCGCAAUAACGCUUCUUUAGAGCUUGGUUUUGGUGAAUUUAUUUAACCUUGUACGUGACAGAAGUUGCGCAGAGCUGAAUAACAAUGGAAUGACAUUAACUUGACCUUCAUCCUGGAGAACUGCCGAAGGAACGUGUCCUUGUCAGUGCAGAGACGACUGAGAGCUCUGAGACCAACAGAGCAGGGAAAAGUCAGGGGAAAAGGGUGUCUUCUCAGCUGCUCUGCUGGUUCAGUCCCAUUGGAAAUAUUGCCAGAGCUUACAAGUUGCAGGGCUCAGGAGAAACUAGCCUGAGCUGCUAUGCAAAUGCCACUUGCUACACGACAGAAGGACUUCAGAGUGUGACAAGGGACAGUGCCUCAGCAGCCACAGGGGAACAGGGAGCCUGUGUGGAGGGAGCAAACAGGCUCACCCAGCCUGGCUGGAGAGAGGCCAAAGGAGCCUCUAAUUGUCAGAGAAUUCAACCAAGCUGGAAGAGCUGCUGAAAGCUGAGGCACACGUGACCUGUUGCAGAGUGACUGGGCAGCACCCCUGUUUCACAGACACAGGCCAGGUGAAAAGUUACCACAAGCUUGAAAACUGGACAGUAGCCAUGCAGCUCUUGAACUGGUGUAAGUAUGAAUGCAGCUAUGGUGGAGGCUGUGGAGCCUGCCUGCAUCAGCGGAGGGUCUGGUUCUUCUGUGCAGCGUUGAUUAUUCAAGAAACCAAGCAACCCCUAAGGAGCAGCUGAGUGUGAUAUUCCCCCUGUUCUCCUGGCUGCUUGGAGCAUCCCAAAGUCCAGCAGGUAUUUUCCAUUUGGCUGUGGUAGCAGGCUGUGUAGACAAAUAUCUACGUAUUCAGCAGGCUGAGCAGGAGGGUUUGUGCAUCUUUCCCUUUAGACUGGUCUGGACAUGUAAAUGUUCUGCCUUCCCUUCCCAGGUGCAUCCUUCUGUGCUUCAGUAAAGCGGGAUAUGGCAUCGCUUUUGGUUUUGUCUUCAGAAGAGUAAACAAAACAGAAGGCCAAAAGACAGCUACUUAAAACACAUUCCUCUGCUGUGACUGGGAAAAAAUCUCUCCCUCAGAUACAGGCAUUCACUGUUUGCAUUCUCAUCCUCCUGGCAGGGGAUAUGGACUUCGUCUGCCUCACCUGGUUCAAGCCUAACCUUUCUGAUGGUUUUUUGUUUUUGAGAUGCCUGAUAAUCUGUCCUUCCUUCCGUGGUUCCUGGGUCCCAGCUGCUUGCCAUAUCUCCUGGAGCUGAUAAAAAAAGAUCUUGUACAAUGGGUCAAGGUACAGUGAUAGACAAGAGCGCUCUUGGUCUUGAUAGGGCUUGGUUUAUGUGUCAGGUGCAUUGUGGACCUGGCAUUGACCUGAAAGGCAGAGGUGGAGGAAUGUGUUUGCUCUCCAAGAGGGAGUCAACCUGACCAAGAAAUGCUGGGCUGGGUGCCUUGUGAUGGCAAAGAAAUCCUUCUGAGAAGGCCUGAGCUGCUGCAGGGGACAGUGGCUUCUACACCUCAGGAUGACUCAAAACAGCGCAUCUCAAACUCAUUGCAGCUCUAGCACCUCUUUUUUAGACUUGUCCAUCUUCCUGUGAAAAUGAGCUCCUUUCUUUCCCUUUCUGCUUUUGCAGGAGAAAACACAAGUGGCUUCCUGAUGGCAGAGGUGGCUGCAAUCACUGGGUCCCAGCUCUCCACUCCAAAGGAUUUUCCCUGCUGCCAGAAACUGCACAUUGCUUGCUGCUCCUUUGCUUUUGUGAACACUUGGUGAGCUUCACCCUCUGAGCAAACCUAAAUUGCUGAGGAUUUUCAGGAGGUAAAGUGAAAGUCAAAAGCUGAAUAUGGACGCUUUUUAAGAGUCAGAUCAUGUUAGGAACUGCCUUGUUAGUUGAAUCUGUGUUUUGGGUGAAGUUUUCACAUUGAUUUGCAAAAGUUGGAAGCUAGACAGUGAAAUACCCUCUGCUCUUCCCAUUUCCAAGCACUUAAUGCAGUAUUAAAGCUCUAUUACAGCCUUUUGAAGGACUCAUGCUUGUGUAUAAACCAUUCUAUAGAGGAAAUACCGUACAGUAACGUUUGUCCUGCUGCUGGUGAAUCUCCCCAUAUUGACAAGCUCUUCAUUUGUUGGCAUGAUAGCAGCAAGCCUGCUUUUAGCACCAUUUCCAAACUUAGCCAAUGCUUAGAACAGCUCAUUAAAGAACAGUAACCUGGGACUGCUAACAAGGGGAGCUCAGGGGUUGUUCUGGACUGUCUGUUGGAUCUCUGUCACCUUAGAAAUAGCCUCCCCUGUUACAGAGCUCACAAAAUGCUGCAGCCAACCUGCCUCACACUGGGCUGCAAGAGAGAGAGAAGCAGGAGCUCAAAUACCAGGUACCAUCCUUUACAUCAAUCCUGCUGGCAUGAAGAGGGUUUAUACUGCACAAAACCUGCUGCAAUGUGUUUCAACAAGAGAAGCCCUUUCCCCUUGCUUGGCAGAAGUAUUCAUAGCCCCUCUGGAAGGUUAGUUUGCUACCACAGAGCUUUUCCAGCUGCAGGACAGAUCUCAGGGCAUAUGAGGAGACCUUGUUCACAGAUCUCUAGAAGCUGGCCCAAAGGAGCUUUAUGUGUCUGGAGCAUUGGGUCAGUAUAGCUUAUGUUGAACACAUAAAGCUGGCACAGGAAAAACUCUUGCCAGCUCUUCAAAUCCAGAGAGGGUAUUUCAGGGCAAAUUUCUUCAUGCACCUCCUCCCCUUUCUCAUCAAAUAAACAAAAGGUAAAACGUCUUCCUCCCAGUUAAACUCCUCCAGGGCUACAGAAGCCAAAGGAUGAAGGGCACAAUGCAGAUGGUACCAGGGUCAGAGCACACUGGAAGGACAGAGCAUGUCAUGGAAUCACAGGCUUGGAGCACGAAGGUGCCUGGUGGCCGUGACAAAGGUUAUGACAAUGCAUAGCAGGCACAGCUUGACUGUCCUGGUGGGCUGGGCUGUAUGCUGGGCUCCUCCGAAAGUGGCUGUGCAGCUCAGAGGGAAUAAUGGGCUGGUGAAAGAUCAGCAUCAUGCUUCUCUUGGAGCAAAAAUACUAUCAGUUCCUGGGGAGACUGGAAAUUACUACUGUGCAGUCUUGCAGUGUUUAGAGGUGGAAGUAUUUUGCUUGGCUUUUAAAGAACGUGCAGCCAAGGCUUGUGAGAUGUUUCUCCAGUGAAUUACAGCAAAUUCGGAAAUGGGGUCACUGGGGUCCCAAAGCUGCAGCCGUCCCUGCUCUUCCCUGGGGACCCACUCCUGGAUGCAGCCGGGCGCAACACGGUCCUCUUAUUGCCUGCAGCCCUUCACUAACUUCUGGGCUCUGGGGUCCCACCACCGGUGGCUCUGGGAGUAAAAAGCAACAAGUGCUCUUCAGCAAUUUCUCCUCUCGCUGCUCCCUUCUGCCAGGUCAUGGGUGCCACCCUGCAAUGUCACUGCCGUGAGGCACAGGCGCCACAGUGACAUUUGAGAAUGCCCCAUCAGAACUUGCAGUUGGCACCAGUUGGUACCAGUCAGCCUUUGUUGGUGUCUGGCAGGACCAAGCCCCACUGGCCAGAGUGAUGGUUGCAGAAGAAAGGCCAAGCCCAAAUGAGACUGGAUGGUUUUAAAGGGAGUUGUUGUGCUGAUUUUGCUGUGAUUGAGUUAAUUUUAUUCACAGUAGUCAGAAUCUUUUCAUUUGAGUAGUUAGCAGUCUUUUGUUGUGAAGUAAAUAUGAGAAUAAUGUGAUAACACACAGAACUCCCCAUGCCUUUGCCUUGGACAGAAGUAAUUUUUUCUUUCCAGUAGCUAGGCUGUGUUUUCAAGUUGGUAUGAAAAGACUGUGAGGACUCACUAAUGUUCUGGCUGUUGCCAGGGAGACCAAGGAUGUUUUCAACUUUCCAGCUGCACAUAGAAGCUGAGAGGGAGCAUAACAGGCCAGCACCUGGACUGACAGCCAGGCUGGCGAGUGAUGAGAUAUUGCCUCCGAUAAGCAUCGUGCUGGGAGAGUUGUCAGGCCCAACUUCUCCUGCCUCUCCUCUGCCUCUCUGGGAUGAUGAAACAGCUGGGGACACUGCUGUAGAAACAGUGAUGGAAGAAGAACCUUUCCAAACCUGGAGUGAUGACAGCACUACUGAAAGAAACACUGCUGCUUCUUCCAAGGAGAACACUGGUGAAGCCCAAGACCUCUCCUUUCUCAAACAACUCUGGAAAAUUGCCAGCAGCAAUGAGUUUCCGUCCAUUCAGUGGGUUGAUGAUGGAUGGAGGUUUUGUUGCCAUCAAUGAACAAACAUUUGAAGAGGAAGUACUAGCAAGGAGAGGACCUGGGAGAGUUUUUGAAAUGGAGAGCAUGGAAAGAUUCCAUGCACUGCGUGAACUGCCAAAGGUGCCCAAUUUGUCUGUCUCUGGGAAUGAAUUUCCAGCAGAAGAAGCAGCUGCUUCUGCUCCUAGAAAGGUACAUCCGUUCCUCUGCACAGGAACUGGUGGGAGACACUGAUGUUCAAAUAUAAUAAACCUUGGCAACAGAGGAGAUGAAGAUGGCCAUGUCCUCGCCUUCAUGUCUUUCUCAGGGCAUUUCUCAGGUGAAAAUCCAUGUCUUAAUUAUGUUGUAAUGUUUGAGACAGCCCAUGCUUGAGGUUUCAAACACCACUAAGAGUCCUUUUCAAUAUCCAAGUUUGGCUUUUGUGAUUAAAAGCCUUAGUUCUCGUAUA